ACAUGCUUCUCCCCUUAAUGACGGAAACCCAUGCAUUCUCACACAGAAACCACGGUUUUCUACUUUCUUCCUGCCCAAGGAGAGAGAAGAUAGCCUCAAAAACAGACGUAGUCUCUGGAAAAUUGCCUGAUUCUCUACAUAAAGUGCAUGGGAAACUCAAGCCAUGAGUAGUGUUUGACUCAGGAACUUUGAGUGUGCAAGGGCAAGCCUCAAGGCCAGCUGCCUAUGAAGAAAUAAAGAUAGCCUCCUCCCAGUGGUCUAGGUCUUGUGGUGUCCACUUGAUGGACCAGCCAAGACUGCCUGGAAUCCCUACUGGACACAAACGUUGGUCAUCCUAUGCUGGAGAUUUGAAGUGGUAGGUGGGAGUACCAUAAAUCUUCGAAAAGUGUGUCAGGGAUUCUAAGUUGUUUUAGACAGGAUAUGUCAGGUGAUGCCGCAGUAACAACCUCCACCCCUUCCAAAUCUUAGUGACUUACCAAAGCCAAUUAAUGCCUGUUUCUUAUUCUCGCAAAGUUCACGGUGAGUUUGGGUGACUCUCCAGGAGAGCUUUUCCUUGCACAGCAAAUCAACAAUCUGGAAAGCUUCAACCUUAUAAUACACACAUGCUUCCACAGCAGGGAAAUGAAGAAUGGAGGAUGGUGACCUGGCUCUUGAUUUCUCCUGCCUGAAGUGACACACAUCCCAUCUGCUUACAUAAUGGUGUCCAACUUCAAGUAAUCCUCCCAUAUUCCCUGAAGGAGGGGCAGAUUAGAAAUACCAGGGAGAAGUAAUAAUAUCUGCCUCUAAAAAGAGGGAAGAACUUGGCAUCUGACUCAAACUCACUUUCCGUGUGUCUCGGGUUCACCCCAAAGAAGAUGAAACCUUCUGUUGUUAUCUGCUCUCCACCUGGUGUUUGGGAUUAAGGGAUGAACUGCCUUCUAGCAGUUCAUCAACUUGGGGAGACAGGGCCAAUUGUUAAAAAGAGAGAGAUAGAGAAAGAAAUAAAUGUAAUUUUAGAACCUGCUUCCUGGACUUAUUGUGAAGAUAGAAGUUGAAGCACGUGACGUUUUUGGCAUGUCGCCCAGCAAAAAUCAGAGUUCUAUAAAUACAAGCUUUUAUGGCCAUUUUACAGAUGAAGCAAUCGAGGCUCGUGGUGGUAGAGUGACUCUCAAGGUCACUCAGUGAUGAUGGUGACCCAAAGACUGAGUGGCUGCAGAGGCCUCUGUUAGUCAUAUCACCCUUGACCUCAUUCAUAUUCCACACACAUGAGAAUCCUCUCUUCCUCUUGCAUUGUUCAAUCAGAGUCUACCUGGUUUCCUGACCUGUUGUGGGCACCAUGUCCUGUAAUGAACACUGAUGGAUGCUGACGCAAAGGUCAGUUGGUCUAGAGGUGAGAUGCUCUGCCAUUUGCUUUCCUCUUCAAACAGAUCUGGAUCCUAAAAAAUACAAGGAUACAGUGACUCCUGAGCCCCUCCUGUAGGUAGCAGCCAUUGUCUGAUGGUGGCAUUUAUCAUUUCAGGGUAAUGAGGGAAGUGCUUUCCCAUUGCAUGACCAAGAUUAUCUUAGGAGUCAUUCGCACUAAGAUGUCAACAUUCUAAGAUUCUGUAUCCUAUAUUUCUAAGAUUUCCACCAUUCCUUAGCUCUGGGAUUCCAAAUUCAACUUCUAAGAUUCUAGACCAGGGCUGUCCAAGAGCACUUUCCACAACAAUGGAAAGAUUCUGUAUCAAUGUUUUCCAGCACAGAAGUGUGGUGGCCACUAUCUUCCUGUGGCUAUUGAGCACUGAAAUGUGGUUGGUGUAAAGAAGGAAUUGAAUUUUAAUUUUACUUCAUUGUAAUUAAUUUGAAUCUAAGUAGCACACAUAGCUAGUGGCUACUGUACUAGGAAACAAAACCAUACAUCCUCUUCUAAUUUUCCUUAUCCUCGCAAAGUUCAUGGAACAUGACUGAAGUUCUCAACAGCACCACAACCCCAGUUUGGGUCACUUGAUCUGGAAUUCACUGAAUGAAACAUGAGUUUGUUGUAUAUCAGUCAGGAGAGAGCAGGUUACACUGCAGUAACAAGCAAGCCUCAGAUCUCAGUGCUUAUGCUGGAUAUUCAUCACAAGUUGGCAAGAAGAUCUCUCAUCACAGUUAUUUGGUUACCCAAGCUAAUGGACUAGCACCCUCUUGAAAGUCACUGCUCAAAGGGCCUGAUGGAAAACUGAACUGUCAAGGACCUUGCAUUGAUUAUGAAAGCUACUCAGAAUGGACACAUACUACUGUUUCUGCCUCCAACUUAUUGGCCAGAGCUAUUCACCCAUCAUGCAGGUAUAGGAAAUGCAACCCAAUGUGUUCUGGAAGGAAAGAAACCCAGAAAUAUUUGAUGAUCUGCACUAAUGAUUACAUAGUAUGCAAGGCUAAAAGCUGGGAUAAAAGUAGGAGGAAAAUACUGAGUCUGGGGGAAAAACAAAACAGCCCGGGAUCCUUGAAAGAGCACUGAGUCCUGGUUUGUCAGAUGCUCUGUGACAGAUCCAAGUCCUGGGUUUUUCACAUGCUCUGUGAUCCUCAAUAUUUCCCUCAUUCUCCUUUGGUCUCUCAGGUUUACACUUUGAAUUAUAAUGCCUGAUCUAACCUUGCUGGUUAUAAUACAUAGACACCUCUGCAUGUAUGCAAGAAUGAAGGACCAUGGCAUUGUUGGGACUUUUCUAGUUAUUACCCUUCUCUAUGCACAACUGAGGAAGGACUUUGGGUCCCUGAGUUAGUGUUGUGGUCUGGGCUGCUACUUGCCAUACAUUUCCAUUAAAUUCUUCUUACCUAGAUAACAUUUAUUUCAUGGGGGAGAGAGGGAAUGAGUCAUAAUGUUCUAAACAUUUUUUAAAAUCUACAUUUCUCAGCCUUACUUACAUGUGGGACUGUCAUGUGGCAACCUCUGUCUAAUAACUUGUAAGUGGAAGGUGUUGGGUGCAUUUUCCAGAAAAGCUCCUUUACAAAGGAGGCAAUCUGAGCUAACACUCAUGUCUUUAUCACUAGACUCGCAUUUUUCUUCUAGUCUGAAUGGGGGAUGUGAUGGUUGGAGCUCUGGCAAUCAUUCUGAGAGCAUUGGAAUGCAAGUCACAGUUAAAAAAUUUAUAUAUGACAGUUAGAAAGAACUUGGAUACCUGAUGGCAUUAUGGAGCUGCCAUCUGUCCGACUUACAGGAGGAAAAAAAUAAUUUCUAUCAUGCUUGUUUACACCAUUUGUGCUUGGAUAUAUGGUUACAUGCAACUAUUCCUAACAUUGCAGAAAUUAAUUGCUAUAUUGGUGAACAAGAAGCUACUGUCUUCAAGGAGUAAUAAGGAUAAUACGAGCAUUGGAAAUGUGUAGACCCCACUUCCCACUUUACUACUUGCCAGCUGUGUGACUUCAGGCAGAGGACUCAGCCUCUCUGAGCUCAAGUUGCCUCAUUUGCAAAGUAGUGGUGAUCAUGAGGCUUCCAUAGGGUGUUUGUGUGGAUUCAGUGAGAUCACACACACAGAGUUCAUAGUGUCUGGCACCUAGCAGAUGCUCAAUAAACAGCAAUAAUACCUCA
rnacentral:lncRNA from 10 species